CAGCGCGGCAUUCUGGGAGUCUGCUGAGUGCUGGCGGCGCGUCGCUCCUGUCAGAAAGUCCCUAGAUCUUUUCCCACUUAUUCAAUUAUCAACAUGCAUUAAUUCUGUACAGCUCACACCAGCAAUAGUGGCUUGUGGUCCAGCCCUUCUGAGUAACGCCAAAAAGCUCCCCAGUGAAUUUUCCAGGAGCAGGUUGCCCUCGUGUAACUGUGGGUAGACAGGGCCAGGGCCGGUUCUCCCGAGUCACGAAUGGGGCUGAGGCAGAAAAAGUGUGAAAAGAGCUCAUGCAUAGGGAGGGUGAACACCGAAAGUGUGUUCAGUCUCUGCAGCAGAGAGACAAGGCUAAAGCAGAGUACGCCGAGCACCCAGAAAGUAAACUGGGCCUCGGCAUCUUCUACCGCUGCGUAAGGGGUAGUGCAAUAGCACCCCAACAUCUGGCAGCUUUGAGACUGACAAAUGGGGAAAUACUUCUCUGUUUUUAUUGUAGCGUAACAUUUAGGUGUGAAAGUCAUUGCUAAAGCUUAAGCCAGGCACCGAGUGGCCCGAGGCCGGGCUGGUCCCAAUCCCAGCACCGAGGCCGUGGGGAGAGAGCCGAGAACUGUAAUGCCUGGCAGACAUAACGGGCUGAAUCACAGCUUGACCAGAAGCAGCAGCUAAGAUGGGCCUGGAGAGGAUGAAGUUUCCAGAAGUCAUGUUUGUUCCUGUCGUGUCUGCUGCCUCUGUAGUGGCUAUGGUCCUGCUGGUGACUAAUACACUCUCUGAAUGAAAGAUGCCUGGAGGUGCUGCUGGAGUUCAUCCGAAUGCAGUUACGGUGCAAGAUUCAGUCUGGCAAGAACUCAUCUGCCUUGGAAAGCUGUAGCUCUUGAGCUAUGCUAGUAGAGUUACAGUGAUGAGAUUAUCCUAAUGUGAAUACAGUUGAGCUGAUGGAGAAGUGCUGAUAGCUGAAGAGCUUAUUCUAAAUCUGGAAUGGAAAUAAGUCACGCUAGGACUGGGUGUCUUGAGUGCAGCAAACCGGCACCUGUAUAUGAGGAUGGGGUGGUAAUGAAUCUACACUCACCAAAAAACCCCCCUCUUUGAGUUUUGCUUUUACGCAGUGUAGAAUAACCCCAAAAGCAAUGUUACUGCACUAUUUUAGAAUAUCCUGUUCUGUUAAGCUGUGGAACUAGUCAAUACAGAUGGCAUAAAGCUCAGUCUGUCAAAUGAAACUGACCAAAUCUGUAGCGGGUGCAAGUCAAUGCAGCUCCACAAAAGCAUCACGGUCCGUGCUCAUUUGCAUCACUUCAGGGUGCCUUGCACCUUCUAUAAUCACUUAAAGCUGUGCUGAUGGAUUGGGUAAAGAUAAAGCGUUUUACAUUGACUUGGCACUCUAUAUGCACAGAUUCUGAGGGAGCCUUGAGAUACCUAAAUCUUACUGAAUUUCUUUAGAAGUUGGACAUCUGCUUCCCACAGGCUCUUUUGAAAAUCACUGCCAUAACCACUCGGUGAGAUGUAAGGGAGAAGUGAGUGGGGCCCAGCAUUGGCUGAGAACUGCAGUAAUAAUUUAAGUGACUUCAAGUGAGGUAAAUACUAAAUAUAUAUUUCCAGUUUGACACAAAAUCCACUGACAACACCAUGAUGUGAGAUCCUUUCAUCAUGCAUGAUUAUAAUCACUUGUUGGCAUGAGGCGCCUAUCUGUCGCAUUUAUAGUUAGAAGCAGUGGAGGCAGCUGACAUCUGACAGGGAUGAGGCAGACCUGACAGGCUCCCCCACCUUGGCCUGCCUUUCCUCUCCCUUUCACUCUUGUCUUUCAGAGGCUGGUAUGACAUGUUGUCCUUACCCUGCAGGCUCUGCAUGCCCGAUCUCCCUGCCACUAGAGGGAAACAUGCAUUUAUGGAAUGACUUUGAGACCUCACUGCUGCCCUAGUGAUAGCCAAAACUUGCUAUGAAGAACACUAGGAAUUUUUAACAGCUUUUUUCACUGUAUUAAACUGAUGCUGUCUAAA